GACAGCAGUCGCCACGGUAAUACGGAGGGGGCUAGCAUUGUUCGGAAUUACUGGGCGUAAAGCGCACGUAGGCUGCUUUGUAAGUCAGAGGUGAAAGCCCGGGGCUCAACCCCGGAUGUGCCUUUGAGACUGCAGGGCUAGAACGUCGGAGAGGUGAGUGGAAUUCCGAGUGUAGAGGUGAAAUUCGUAGAUAUUCGGAAGAACACCAGUGGCGAAGGCGGCUCACUGGACGACUGUUGACGCUGAGGUGCGAAAGCGUGGGGAGCAAACAGGAUUAGAUACCCCAGUAGUCCCUGUCUCUUAUAC
rnacentral:rRNA from 1 species